CUUGCUAAGGCCGAUGGCGACCGGCGCACGGGUGAGUAACACGUAUCCAACCUGCCGUCUACUCUUGGACAGCCUUCUGAAAGGAAGAUUAAUACAAGAUGGCAUCAUGAGUCCGCAUGUUCACAUGAUUAAAGGUAUUCCGGUAGACGAUGGGGAUGCGUUCCAUUAGAUAGUAGGCGGGGUAACGGCCCACCUAGUCUUCGAUGGAUAGGGGUUCUGAGAGGAAGGUCCCCCACAUUGGAACUGAGACACGGUCCAAACUCCUACGGGAGGCAGCAGUGAGGAAUAUUGGUCAAUGGGCGAGAGCCUGAACCAGCCAAGUAGCGUGAAGGAUGACUGCCCUAUGGGUUGUAAACUUCUUUUAUAAAGGAAUAAAGUCGGGUAUGUAUACCCGUUUGCAUGUACUUUAUGAAUAAGGAUCGGCUAACUCCGUGCCAGCAGCCGCGGUAAUACGGAGGAUCCGAGCGUUAUCCGGAUUUAUUGGGUUUAAAGGGAGCGUAGAUGGAUGUUUAAGUCAGUUGUGAAAGUUUGCGGCUCAACCGUAAAAUUGCAGUUGAUACUGGAUAUCUUGAGUGCAGUUGAGGCAGGCGGAAUUCGUGGUGUAGCGGUGAAAUGCUUAGAUAUCACGAAGAACUCCGAUUGCGAAGGCAGCCUGCUAAGCUGCAACUGACAUUGAGGCUCGAAAGUGUGGGUAUCAAACAGGAUUAGAUACCCUGGUAGUCCACACGGUAAACGAUGAAUACUCGCUGUUUGAGAUAUACAGCAAGCGGCCAAGCGAAAGCGUUAAGUAUCCCAACCUGGGGAGUACGCCGGCAACGGUGAAACUCAAAGGAAUUGACGGGGGCCCGCACAAGCGGAGGAACAUGUGGUUUAAUUCGAUGAUACGCGAGGAACCUUACCCGGGCUUAAAUUGCAGAUGAAUUACGGUGAAAGCCGUAAGCCGCAAGGCAUCUGUGAAGGUGCUGCAUGGUUGUCGUCAGCUCGUGCCGUGAGGUGUCGGCUUAAGUGCCAUAACGAGCGCAACCCUUGUUGUCAGUUACUAACAGGUUCCGCUGAGGACUCUGACAAGACUGCCAUCGUAAGAUGUGAGGAAGGUGGGGAUGACGUCAAAUCAGCACGGCCCUUACGUCCGGGGCUACACACGUGUUACAAUGGGGGGUACAGAGGGCCGCUACCACGCGAGUGGAUGCCAAUCCCAAAAACCUCUCUCAGUUCGGACUGGAGUCUGCAACCCGACUCCACGAAGCUGGAUUCGCUAGUAAUCGCGCAUCAGCCACGGCGCGGUGAAUACGUUCCCGGGCCUUGUACACACCGCCCGUCAAG
rnacentral:rRNA from 1 species